rnacentral:rRNA from 1 species
GAACUGAACAGUCACCAGUCGGCCGUCAAGGUCUGUACUGGUCUGUUCGUUCUCACCUAUGGGAUGCUCACCGCUACUCUUAACUGGGCGGCGGCUAAAACAAAAAAAAAAGCAUUGGUAGGACAAAAACGGUAUACGUCUCGCGCGUGUACUGCCUAUCAGUGUGGAGUUCCCAUUCGUUUACUUUGAAUAAAUUAGGGUGUUCAAAGCAGCCAAAAAAGGAGGCAUGGAUACUACAGCAUGGGAUAACGGAAUACGAUUUCGGUUCGAUGUUUCGUUGGUUUCUAGGAUCGAAGUA